rnacentral:rRNA from 1 species
CAGUAGCCGCGGUAACACGAAGGGGGCUAGCGUUGUUCGGAUUUACUGGGCGUAAAGCGCACGUAGGCGGAUCGAUCAGUCAGGGGUGAAAUCCCAGAGCUCAACUCUGGAACUGCCUUUGAUACUGUCGAUCUGGAGUAUGGAAGAGGUGAGUGGAAUUCCGAGUGUAGAGGUGAAAUUCGUAGAUAUUCGGAGGAACACCAGUGGCGAAGGCGGCUCACUGGUCCAUUACUGACGCUGAGGCACGAAAGCGUGGGGAGCAAACAGGAUUAGAUACCCGUGUAGUCCCUGUCUCUUAUAC